GUGCACUGUCUUUGAACCUGUGUUGCCUUCACCAUGGUUUCAUAGGCCAAGCUACAGUGCAAUAGCAAACUUACUUGUUAUAACUGGGGCUUCUUGGCAUUCUCCCCAAGCUGCUCUUUUAAAUGCAAGUUACAGGU